UACGUAGGGCGCAAGCGUUAUCCGGAAUUAUUGGGCGUAAAGAGCUCGUAGGCGGUUUGUUGCGUCUGCCGUGAAAGUCCGGGGCUCAACUCCGGAUCUGCGGUGGGUACGGGCAGACUAGAGUGAUGUAGGGGAGACUGGAAUUCCUGGUGUAGCGGUGAAAUGCGCAGAUAUCAGGAGGAACACCGAUGGCGAAGGCGGCAUCCUGGACCAACACUGACGCUGAUGAGCGAAAGCCAGGGGAGCAAACGGG
rnacentral:rRNA from 1 species